AUGUAACUAUACUAUUUUGACGAUUCUGGAGCUGCUCAUGCACUUAUCUUUACAUUUCGGGACUGUUUUUUAUCGGUUUUGCUUCUGCCCGUAAUCAAAAGUCGGGCUUAGGGUCUGAAUUUCGGAAAACCGACUUUAUUUUUGAGUCCGUGGGGACGUUUUACCAUAGCCAUGUAAAUUUCGUUCAAUUCCGACAACUUUCUUUUUUGACGCUUAUUUUGAUUUGUACCGAUUUCGUUUCCGAUACACUUGUACAUGCAUGGUUUGACUUCCAUUUGACUUGUAUAGAUUGUUAGCUUAUUAAUAGUGUACUAAUGUGCUUUAGUUUGUUUGAUACAGGUUCAAUGGCUCCGGAUGGAGAUGCUCCUAAAGAAAACUCACAAGAAAACUCACAAGAAAGAGAUGCUCAAGAAAGAGAUGCCACGGAUACAAAUGCUCCACCUGAUACUGAAGCAAAAGAAGUUGCACGAGGCAUCACCAUUAUGAAGGGAAUCGUUCGACAUAGAGACCAAGGAUUAGUAUACCGUUUGGAUUGGAAUUCUGAUAAACAAGCAAUUGGUCCUAAUUCUGCAAAGUUGACAAGCUAUAUUGGUACACUUGUUCGUAUGCAUAUUCCGGUCUCCACAGCUAAAUGGAAUCUGAAAAGCGAAUAGUUGGAUGCGAAAAAAAAAGCGAUUUGGGACGAGCUUCAGAGGACUUUUGAGAUACCAGAUGAUCGUAGACGCUACAUACUUAGUUUGGCCGGCAAAAGAUAUAGAGGGUGGAAAGCUUUUUUGACAAACACCUAUCUUAAGGAUAAAGAUGGAAACUUUCUUGAAGAGGCACCGGGACGGCCAAAAAAGUAUGAGAUCUUCAUUGGUGAAAAAGAUUGGACUGAGUUUGUAAAUCAAAGAGAUGAAGAUUUUCGGAAAAGGAGUGCCACGAAUAGCGCGAGAGCAUCCAAACCCGCGUAUCCAUACAAAAAAGGGCGUAUGGGAUAUGCACGCUUAGAGGAUAAACUUUUAGAGGAGACUAAAAGUGAGGAAACCUCACUUCCUGUACAUGUGUUGUGGAGGGAAGCUCGUGUGGGCAAGAAUCAAGCUGUCGAUCCCGAAGUUCAGAGAGUUUUUA